CGUCCCUCUCUCCAGCCUACUUACCCCGCUGCCCCCCGGAGUCCCUCAUUCCAACCUUUCUGCCUAUUUUGAUUUUAUUUCCUCCCCCUGCCUCUCCUUGGUUUCUAAGGGACUCCCCUCCAACCUGUCUGUAGGUAUGUUUGUGUAACCAGACACUGAAGGUAGCUGUCUGCCGAGGAAUUAACUCGGCAACCCCCAAAGCUUCGUUUGCAUUCAAUAGAGGUGUUUGUUUUUCAGGUUUAUAUCUCCAGACGGGGUUGAAGAAGUCGCCCAAAAGGAAUCACUUCGCAAAUUUUGUUUCCUCCCUUGAAAUCCCACUGGACGUGGAGCAGGUGGGGGAUCGGGAGGGGAAAGUUUUGGGGUGGAAGGGGGUGCUGAUAUGGAGAGUGAUCAGGGACUGAGUGGUGUGGGAAGGUGGGGGAAAGCGCUUUAAAGUUGGGAGAGUGGAGUUGCACUUUCCCCCUUCCCCUCCUCAGCGGAGGAUAGCUCAAGGCUCUUGCUCUCGUUCGUUAAAAAUAAAUACUACAGAAGUUGGCAAAUUUUGUAGUUUUAGAGAAGUGGAUUCUCUCCAGGAUUAACGUAAAAAAUGUUGAUGUUUGAGGAACUGCUCUUGCUCAACCAGUAAAUAAAGUGGAGAUGUUGACAGUUUGUCUAGCCUCUGGUAAAUGAGAACAAAAAAUAUUUCAUUUCUUGAAGGGCAUCAAUAAUUGUGAGGGUGGGAGGGAGAAGAAGGAGUUUAACUAUUAACCUUUAUCUAGGCUCAUAAAUGAGUUGAAAGUCAUGUUUCUGAAGCUUCAUUUAUACAUUUGCUUUCCUGUUUUCCCUCCUCUUCUUUCCUUCAAUUGAGAUGGUGAAAGGUAAAUGAAAAUAAUGAUGCUUACAUUAAUUGGCAAAAUAGGCGAUUUUAUGGCUCACCAGUAAAAAAUAAAUGCCACGGGAAAGUUGCUGUUUGCAGUGCAAGCGGUGGGAAAGUGGUCUGGAGGGCGUGGGGGGGCGGAGGGGGGGGACGGCAGAGAAGUGCGGCUGGCUGCUGCUUGUACUCUUACUUUAGGAGGUUUGGAUUUGUGUUUCCAGAUCUUCCCUUGAAGACGGCGAAGGACGGUUUGUGGAAGGCUCUGAAUUGCCCGUAUUUGGCCAGGGAUCACCUCAGUGGACAGUUAAUGAAAGAGCAGAGGGAACUUGAAGGUCAGUCACACUGAAUUCUUUUUUCUUCCUGGCUAUGUCUUUUUUAUUGCAUCCUAUCUU
rnacentral:lncRNA from 1 species